GCUCUCCUACGGGGGGCAGCAGUGGGGAAUAUUGCACAAUGGAGGAAACCCUGAUGCAGCAACGCCGCGUGAGUGAAGAAGUAUUUCGGUAUGUAAAGCUCUAUCAGCAGGGAAGAAGAUGACGGUACCUGACCAAGAAGCCCCGGCUAACUACGUGCCAGCAGCCGCGGUAAUACGUAGGGGGCAAGCGUUAUCCGGAUUUACUGGGUGUAAAGGGAGCGCAGACGGCAGUGCAAGUCUGGAGUGAAAGCCCGGGGCCCAACCCCGGAACUGCUCUGGAAACUGUAUGGCUGGAGUGCAGGAGG
rnacentral:rRNA from 1 species